ACGUAGGGUGCAAGCGUUAAUCGGAAUUACUGGGCGUAAAGCGUGCGCAGGCGGUUAGGUAAGACAGAUGUGAAAUUCCCGGGCUCAACCUGGGAACUGCAUUUGUGACUGCCUGACUAGAGUGCGGGAGAGGGGAGUGGAAUUCCGCGUGUAGCAGUGAAAUGCGUAGAUCCUCGGAGGACCACCGAUGGCGAAGGCAACUACCUGGACCUGCCCUGACGUUCAUGCACGAAAGCGUGGGGAGCAAACAG
rnacentral:rRNA from 1 species